rnacentral:rRNA from 1 species
AUACGAAGGGGGCAAGCGUUACUCGGAAUCACUGGGCGUAAAGCGCGCGCAGGCGGUCUUUUAAGUUGGAUGUGAAAGCCUACGGCUCAACCGUAGAACUGCAUCCAAAACUAUUAGACUAGAGUGUGGGAGAGGAAGAUGGAAUUAGUUGUGUAGGGGUAAAAUCCGUAGAGAUAACUAGGAAUACCAAAAGCGAAGGCAAUCUUCUGGAACACUACUGACGCUGAGGCGCGAAAGCGUGGGGAGCAAACAGGAUUAGAAACCCUUGUAGUCC